UAGUGUAGUGGUUAGCACAUCUGCUUUACAUGCAGAAGGUCCUGGGUUUGCACCUCAG
rnacentral:tRNA from 1 species